GGCCUUAUGGUCUAGUCGCAUGAUUCCUCGUUUGGGUUAAAAUUCGAGGAGGUCCUGGGUUCAAUUCCCAGUGAGGCCC